rnacentral:tRNA from 1 species
GGGCGGUUGGCUCAGCUGGUUAGAGCGGCUGGUUUACACCCAGCAGGUCGGGAGUUCGAGUCUCUCACCGCCCACCA